AGUGAACGCUGGCGGCAGGCCUAAUACAUGCAAGUCGAACGGCAGCACAGCGGAGCUUGCUCUGUGGGUGGCGAGUGGCGGACGGGUGAGGAAUACGUGGGAAUCUGCCCAGUCGUGGGGGAUAACGUAGGGAGACUUACGCUAAUACCGCAUGCGCCCUUUGGGGGAAAGCCGGGGAUCUUCGGACCUGGCGCGAUUGGAUGAGCCCACGUCGGAUUAGCUAGUUGGAGGGGUAAAGGCCCACCAAGGCGACGAUCCGUAGCUGGUCUGAGAGGAUGAUCAGCCACACUGGAACUGAGACAAGGUCCAGACUCCUACGGGAGGCAGCAGUAGGGAAUAUUGGACAAGGGGCGCAAGCCUGAUCCAGCCAUGCCGCGUGAGUGAAGAAGGCCCUCGGGUUGUAAAGCUCUUUUGUUGGGGAAGAAAAGCCUUGGGUUAAUACCCUGAGGUUCUGACGGUACCCAAAGAAUAAGCACCGGCUAACUUCGUGCCAGCAGCCGCGGUAA
rnacentral:rRNA from 1 species